rnacentral:lncRNA from 1 species
UUGAUCCUAGGCGGAACGGACCAUGGAAACCCUAGACUCAACUUCUUCUUGUUCUUCUUCUGCUUCAAAUCUCCAAAGCCCUAGCUCCAAAACUCCACAACCACCACCUUCUGUCAUUCGCCUAUGGAGACCAGCCGCGCAGCGAAACCUACGAAACCAGUGGUCGAAAUUAGCUUCCUACAGACAACAAUGGACUUCUACUGCCUCAAAGGGAAGGUCACAUGCCACAGAUCUUGUCAAUGCUUAUCUCUCUCUAAGGCAAUUACAAACUUUUUGCUUCAACUUAGGGUUCUUUGAAUUUUAUGGUCCGUUUGGUUACUGAGGAAACGCGGGAAAAGACAAGAGAGAUGCAGUUGAGAAAUGCAAUCUCAAAAUGUUUGAUUCUUUGCCUAUUUUUGUGAUUUUCAUUUUAAUUGUCUCAAACCGAAGCAAUAUGGCAAGGAAUUUGAAAAUAUCAUAGUUUAAUUUUCCUGAAAUUUCCCAGCAGCCAAACAGAGGAUAAGGGUUUGUGAGAGUCUUAAUGCGCUCAUUGGGAUUACUUUUUGGCUCAGAUAUAUGCCUGCCAUGGAGUUGGGUGUUCUGAGUGAUAUGCCCAAUAUUAGAAAGAAAGCUUGCAUGAAAUUAUUAAAGCAGCAGGUACUUCUACAUUAUGUCUUUGCCUGUGUGUGUGCAUGAUUCUUAAUUUCCUGGUUCAAUGUUUUUAUAGCUUAUGUGUUAUACCUACUACCAUUUCUUUUUGUUUGCGUAGAUUAUACGCCAAUGAUAAUCAAGCAUUUUUAAGAUUCAUCUUAAAGUCUUGUCUUGUUAGCAGUCUUUGGAUUCUAACUAGGUGCCGAAUUGAACUUAGGAUAAAUUUGGAUGCAGAAAGUUUUGCCUCUAUUUGUAACUUUUUCCAAAACAUGGAAAUGGGAAAUUUUUUUGUGAAAUUUUGGCUUGUUGAUAGGUAUUAUCAUUAAUUUGACUCAACAUCCAGUCAAUAUAUUUGGAACCACUGUCUGCAGCCAUGGAUUUUUUUUGCGUUAAUGGGUCUUGGAUUUAGUUUUUUGUAUAUUGUCAUUUUUUUUAAUAUUCUGCAGGAAAUAUGCAUUUCCAUAAAUGCAUUCCAUUUUAAAGGUUGAUGAGAUAAGCUCUGAACUCCUCACAUUGUUGCUGUGGUUCACUGCUUGGCUAAAUGAUUUCCUGUUUUGUCUUUUCAAUGAGAAAUGAAUAAGAAUAGAUUAUUUUAGGAUCCCGAGUCUGUCAUGCAAACAAGUUUUGCUUACUAUCUACUUUUAUUUUGAUGGAUCUGCAUCUUAUAAAGUAUUUCAUCGUUUCAGGGCCUUCAUGGGAGCAAACUUUUGUCAGCAUACAAGGAUAUGGUAUGCAUACUGAACAUGUGUUAUUAGGUCCAUUAUAGGUGUCAAAGAUGUUACCUUGCAGAAUUAGAGCAGUAUUUAUGUGGGUAAAUAGUAAAUUAGAUUAGACCUAACUGAAAAUAAACUCUUUAAGGACGAAGAGGCAACAAGAAAUCUGGAACUGCUUCCAUCCAAGCUUAAAUUUCUCUCAAAUUUUUAGGAUAUCUUGCCAAUUCAUGGGUAAUAGAACUUCCAUUAUUUAAAGACAAGAAGGAAAACAAGCACUGAAAGGAAAAUGCAUUUAGGGAUAUCAGCUAUGCUGGGACCACCAGGAGCUAAACCCUCCUGCAUGGAUUGAGUCAUUUGACAACAAAGGUCUCCUUCCAGAAUUACUCAAUGAAAUUAGAAAAUAAAUACGAAACUGCUAACUUUAAAUGCUUAAAUUUCUAUACUUUCAAUAUUCAAAAAAAGAAACCCGAAUGAAAAUGGAAAAAAAAAAAAAGGAAUAAUAAAGGAACAAACUCCAAUAUACACAGAGUAUGUAUUCUAGUACCCUGUUUAUGCUUAUUCUUCACCCACUGCUUUUUCUUUCACUCCCCCAAAUGGAAUUUGGCUUCACUGCAUUUGAAACUGUUUUAUUUAUGGGAAAAAUAGAUGUCAAGAUUACAAGAUGUUUAGGAUGAUUUUGCUCACCCUUUAAGCUCAACAGCUAAAACGGAGCUGUGCUCUUGAAAAUUCAUACAACUCUCAUUUAACAGGGAAAUUGUACAAUAUACCAAUAUGGGAACUUAUGCUGUAUGAGGUUAAUUACUAGUCAAAGCUCAUAUCAGUAUGUUAAGGUGAAUAAGAAUAGAAAUAGUAGAAGGGAUUUAAGAGUAGAUCAUGCUGGAACUAACGCGAAGAAGAAUUAAGGAAAAAUCAGUAAGAAUGGGAUAUAUUCUUGAAGUAAAGUUAAUGAUUUCUCAACAGAUAUAUAUAUAUAUAUUUUUUGUGGCCUUAGUCACUAUUGAAUCCUAAUGUUCAAAAUUUGCCUGGAAAUUGACAAAUGGGUCCACUCUUUCUCUCACUUGAUCAAUGUUGAAAUGGAUAAUAUGGUUGUGUUCUGCCAUUGCAUGGAUAGAGAACACACAGUAUUAAAAAUUGAUUAGAAAACACCUGUUUUAUUAAUUUUUACCCAAAAAAAGAACAGUAAGAAUGAUAAGAUAUAAUGACAUUUUUCUAGGUUAUGUCAACAUGUCAAGUGAUCAUCUUGGACUCCAGAAGCUCCAAAGAGUGGAGCAAAGCCUGUAGAUUCAUUGGUAAUGAUUGUUCUUCAUUAUGGAAGGAUGCAAAGCCAAUGACGAGUUAAAUAUUUUAUUUGUUGAAUAAGCAAAGUAUUUUUAUCAUGUUAGACCUUAAUAAUUCAUCUGCAGGUGGCUGUCGUGACUCACAUGGUCAAUACCAGUAGAUCCAUGAGAUGUUUCCUUAAAGGGACUAGCAGCAGUCCACUUGUGCAAUUUUCUAGCUUAUCUGAGGAUACAAAUGACCUUGGAGAUGGUGGAGGAACUCCAGCCUUUCUCUUUUGGCCAAUCUCUUCUUUCGGUAAAUCGCUGUCUGCAAAGAUUUUAUACUGCAUUUAGUUUUUUUUGGGAUGUGAGUCAUCAAUUGUAACAAGUUAAAAGCUUAAAUUAAGGAAGUAAAAAAGUGGCCUCAAAAAGCCAUUUAUUUAUUUAUUUACUUAUUUUCUGAUUGACCAAAGGUUCAUUGAUUUAAUGAGAACGGUGAUAGUGAUGGGGAGAGUGAUGCGACUAAGUUGAAGUGAAUGUCUCUAUUGUAGUACAGAGAUCCUCAAUUUACUAGGUCUAUUAACUUCACGUGAUAUCAGAAAAUAAAUGUAUGUUCACAUUCAAAAAAUUUAAGCUAUAUGUUUAAUCAAAAGUAGGUUGGUCAUUUGCAUUUUUAGCACAUAUCUCUAACAUUAUAUCUUAGCAAGUAUUCUUUUAUUAAAAAAUGUAAGUGAAUUACCCAAAUGUUAUUGUACUUUGAAAAAGCAUACACAUCAUUGUUAAGCUAAUAUGUCAUUAAUAUGCAUACUCUUAUUUGCCUAUCAAAAAAAAAAAAAAAAAACAAUGUUAAGCUAAUAUUCCAUGUCAAAUAAAGUGGUGAUUUUAUUGAGUUCCAAGCAGUUUUGAAUAGUUACAGUGAACUUUGAGAAGUUUGGGAAAGUUUAAAUGAGCUUUUGAGUAUCUGUAAAAUUAAAUUAGAGAGAGGGAGGGAGGGAGUAGCUUCCAGGAGUUAUAAUUUAAAACUACAUGGAGGGAGGGAGGGUGUAAAAAAUUAGAAGUUACAUUUAGACUUCAUUUCUAUUGCCUCAAGAAUGGAAAAUUGCGUUUUUUCUUUGAAAACAGGUUGGAACUUCAAACCAUGAUGUGUUGGCAUGUCAAUCUUCCCAAACUCAUGUAGUAUGAUACUUAACCAUGCCUAUUAUCCUCUUGAGUUUUUAUUUGGCUGUCUUUUUUUCAAUUCUCCAACACAUUUAAUCAUGACAUUUGUGAUCUUUGAACAAUCUCUCAGAGAAAUUAGCAGAGGAACUUGUUCAGAUGUUCAUACUUGAACUAAAUUUGAAGGUGAAUUUUGGUUUUGUUUUGCUACUCCAGAUUUCUAUUUUAUUUGGACAUGUAAUAGAUCACUUGUCUUUGCUUGUAACUCUAUUCUUAUUGGUAUUGUUUGCUCUAAGCAGCGGUUGCUUGUAGUGGAGUUACUCUCCAUCAGUUGUGAAGAAGCUCCACAAGAUGAUCGAUAUUGUUGGUCAGAUGAGCUGUAUCCAGGGGAAUUUGAUGAUUUGGGUAUAUGCAGCUUGCAUUCAAAAGAAAUUGGUGAGCUUAUUCCCCCAAAAAUAAUAGGUUUUGAAUCUCAUUCGCCUGUUAUACGUUCUAAUCAGCAGCCAGAUCAUGAGAUCUUACAGGUAUAAAACAUUCAUUAUUGUAUAAUGCAUAUAAUUAAUUGUUUGAAAGUAUGAUCGACUUUAGCAUGCAUUUGCUUUUGGGUUAGAUGUGUAUAUACAUAGAUUUUAUACAUGCAUAUUUAUUACAUUUGUAAGCUUGUAUUCUUGAACAAGGAACUACCUAGAGUGGGAUGAAUAUGUCUUCAAAAUUUUAUGCCGAAGCGAAAUAUCUUAAAUCAAUAACUUUUAGGUCUAUCUCAAAUUGAUUAAUGUGAUUCAAUUAUGCCAUUUAGAUUAGCCCUAUGAGAAUUGAUACAUGUCCCGAUAAUCUUUUUCUCUGAUAAUUUUGCUCCAAAGAUUACUUGUCCGAGACUACUUUACUACCACUAUACUAACAUGUUUGAGUUGAAGACACAAAAUUUGAAGCUAAGGUAAGAAUGUGGUUUUGGAUUUGAUUAAGCAAUGACAAAAUUCAAUUUAACGUAAAAAGAAGUCUAAAAAAUUUAAGGAAGUUUAAAAUAAUGUUUCCUUAUUGAUUUCCACUUUCCACUUUCCAAUUCUAUUAAACAUUCUAUUGUGUUCUAACUAGGUUUUUGUGCUUAUAAAAAGAAGACUACUUUUCAUAAUCCUGUAAUAAAUUACAUCACCUAAUAUUACCACAGAUGAUGCCUUGCAUAGUAUCUAGUUUCUCCGAGAUAGUAAUUCUAUUUGUCUUCAUAAAGAAGCCAUUUCCUUACUUACAAUUGACAGUGGUGAGCAAUCAAGUUGUCCACAUACACAUGGGUAUAUUCAGAAGGAAGGAUCCACCGUUAUGGAUCUCAAGAAUUCCACAUGCACAGUACCUAGGAAUGAAUGACUAGCUUUCUUGAUGGAAACUUUAGUACCGAAUUCACCCAAAAGAAUUAGAGAUGAAAUAAAUUUGCGCAAGUGAAAUGAUAUAGUUUUGUUGAUAACUGGAUUUGGAUACUCCUUUGUAUUUGAAUGCUUUUCUAGUAUUCUCACCAUAACCAAAGAUAAAAGAAGUGGUUUCUAUCUCUGUUGCUGACUGUUGAAUUAUUGGAGUUUUGCAGGUUUACCUUACAACUUGGCUUGCAGAGGUGAACAUUGAUACACAUAGGUAAAAAUGAAUUACAAGAUUUGAAGCUCAUUAGAUACUUUCAAACCCAAACUACCCCUCCCCACAAAAAAUAAAUAAUAAUAAUAAAAAAAAAAAUUCAAUUCCUGAAGUAUGAAAACAUAAGUGACAGACUUGAAGUUAGAUACCAAUAUCUGUUUUCAAAAAUUGUGAAAAAGCUGGAACUUUUUAAUGCUCAUGUAUCCUUAAUGUUGAGCACAGACCAUUGCUUACUGUCUUUAUAAUUUGAAAUUCUCACCAUUUUGAUUGGUUGAGCAUGAAUGGUUACUUAGGUUCUGAUCCCUGUUUUCCUUGUUUUCCUUUAUAGGGUUGAUGAAAUAUUUGCUGUAAUUGGGGAGGAAAUGCACGUUGGCCUUCCAUGAACCUGCUUGUAUGGCAAAAAGGAGAGAAGUGCUACUACAAUGAAUCCAUCAAAGAUUCUGCAGACCACAAUAGGCUAAAAAUUGGGUAGUCCUAUAAUUUAUCUGUAUCUAUACCAUAUAUAAAAGAGCAAAGUGUUAAGACUUUUUUUUCCCUUAAAUAUCCUGUUCAUCACUCUUAUGUACGCAUACAUCCUAUUAUUAUUUUAUUGAAUUAAUUUGGAUAAUGUUUUUUUUUUUUAUUUAAGAAACACAUUAUUUAAAUAAUGUUUUUUUUUAAUUAUCAUAAUUUAUUUAAAGUAACUUUAACAUGAAAGUUUUUAUAUUAUUUAUAAAAUUUUUAGAUGAAAAAGAUAGAUGAUUUUUUUUUCUUUUUUGCAUUUCUAAAAAUGCAAUCAUAUGAAACAACCUAAAAACUUUGAUUCAAAUAAUAUUUCUCUUUUGAAAAAUCAUAAUUUAUAAACGGUAAUAUUUAUAUAAUAUAAAAAGUAUGAAUUUACUUUAUAUCUUUGAAAAAUCAUUUUUAAAAAUUUUAGAAUUUGAGAUAAUAAAUUUUUUUUACAUCUCAUUUUUUUUAAAUAAUUUUUAAAAUCAUUAAUUUUAAUGUAAAUCUUUAAAAAAUUUAUUGCACCGUUACGACUACUUUUUUAUUUUAAAAACAGAAAACAUGAAAUAUAUCUAGAAUAUAAUAAGGAAAUAGUUUGCAUACAAUGUGUAAUGUAAGCUUCAAGUAGAAUAACCUUAAAAGAAACAAUUUCAAGGUUUUCGUAAAACAUUAACGUAACCAUAUAUAAUGAAGUCUUAGAAUAUAAUCAUGCUAACAAAACUCUUAUGGUUCGGAUGUCGGAUGUACAAAAUCAAGAAUGAAUUAAGAACAAAUAUACGUCAAAAUCAAGAAUGAAAGAACAAAUAACCGUCCAAGAGGUACUGCCUAUAUGCCGAUAUUUGUUGCAUAGAGAUGCUAUGAUCCAUGUCGAACAUCGUAUUCUCAGACAACCCCAUCUGCGGCAUGGAAUUUGUGGGAUGGGUGUUAAACAUCAUCGUAUUCUUGGAUACCGACAUCUCUUGCAUGGGAGGAACAGUCCCCAUCUUCUGAUAUGAAGUUGAAGGAUCAGGGUUAUUCUUGAACAUCCCAUGAGCUGGAUCAUAAUGAAUUGGGUCCUGAAAUUGAGUACUGUGGUGCAGGAGCUCACUGCUGGAUGCCUUCCCACUUCCAAAUUCUUGAUAUCCGUUAUUCUCCAUAUUCAUCAUCAUCAUCGGGUUCAAAUCAGAUUCAACCACUCCACUACUUGUAUCGGGAAAAUCCAAAUCAUAUAAGAACAUUUCAAUGCCUUCAAAGGCUUGCUCAUCAGCUGUAGGCAAACCCGGGAUAUGAGAGGAGUUCACAGGAGUCUUACUCAUCAAGCCCGCUUCUCCCUUCUUCAAAUCAAUCAGACUCAUCACAUGUUCAAGUUUCCUGUCCAAUUGAUCAUUUAUUUCCAUCAGAUUUUCAUAGGAAAGCCCAUCCAGUUCCAAUCCAGUCUCAGAAGUCUGCCCUUUGGUUUCGCCAUUUUUUUCCUGCAGCUUUUGCAGCUCAACUUCGGCCUUCCUCUUUCUGCUUUCAAGAAUGUCAGAUAAAUCCACCGCCCUCUUUCCAUGGUCUGCCUUCACGUACUUGUUCACUAUACGUUGAACUUCAUAGUGAUUUUCAGGCCAAACAUCAGGCUGAGAAGAAUAGGAGCCAUUGCCAUUCUGAUCACAAUACAUGAUCAUACACGCUUCAACAUCACAUAGAGUUGACAACUCCUGGAGCUUUUUCUUCAAGCCCUUUUGCCUAUUUCGGAAAGUUCUGCACCGAAGUUUCUCAUUAGCGAUCAACUCCAUUUUUAACUUGCCACGACCCAUUCUUCUUCUGAAGAAGAACAAGAAGAAGAAGAAGAAGGAUUGAUCAAAAUGCAGUCACUGGGUAUGUGGAGCAACAGAAGAAAAAGGGGAGAGAUCGAUCAAGAACAGCACUUCUCCUCUAAUGUCGUCAAUGGGUCACCGGUGCUAUUUAUAGAAAAGCUAAGCUAUGGAAACCGGAUUUAGAAACCAAAUAUAAAAUACCCAUAAAAAUAAAUAAUAAAUAAAAAUAAAAAUAAAAAGUGAAUGAUCAGUUACUAAUUAUGAUUACGGAUAUAAGAUUCGAAUUUUUUUUUUGACGUUGCUAAAAUCGUUUGCUAAAAACGUUGGGAAAAGUAUAGCAUUGGAGUGAUUGAGAUCAAAACGGACGCAGCUUUCAUCUUCUCCGGCACCGCUCAGAUGGGAAGGAUCUUGCUAUUCCCAAAAGGCUUCCUCUUCUAUUAUUCAUCUGUGCCUGCUAUGAGACGUGCCUGUGGCUUUGGUGAAGGAUAAACGGAGAAAGUCCCAAACUCAUGGGAUUUCUACAAACGGCGUCGUUGGGACCCUCUUUGAAACGCGUCGUUUCGGUUUCACCGUUUGGCGCCCGUAGGUCGAUUGAUCAAGUUUUGUGCGUGGCUUGAUCCUAGGCGGAACGGACCAUGGAAACCCUAGACGCAACUUCUUCUUGUUCUUCUUCUUCUUCAAAUCUCCAAAGCCCUAGCUCCAAAACUCCAACACGACCUCCUUCUGUCAUCUGCCUAUGGAGACCAGCCGCGCAGCGAAACCUCCGAAACCAGUGGUCGAAAUUAGCUUCCUACAGACAACAAUGGACUUCUACUGCCUCAAAGGGAAGGUCACAUGCCACAGAUCUUGUCAACUCCUAUCUCUCUCAAAGGCAAUUACAAACGUUUUGCUUCAACUUAUGGUUC